CAGCUGUUGCCUGUUCAUAUCCAGCCCCUGUAUUGGGGUCAAGAUCUGGCCUGUUCUCAAUGCAGCAAGAUCCAGGCAGAUCACACUGGACUCCCAGCACUGAAUCUGGCUCAAGGGGACAUCAAAUUUGACUGGGUCGUGGGGCUCAGGAGCAUCACUCUCAAAAAUAGUGGUACAGGAAGAGGCGAUGACCCUAAACAGCAUUUGCAGGCAGAUCCCAUGUUAAUAAUAAGGGUCAGGACUCUCUCACUUUUCUGUCUCUCUCUCUGUCUCUCCUCUAGGGCUGACCCCACAUUGGACACCACUGCAUCCAUGUCCAUCACACACCACAGCUGCCUUUUCUUCUGCCUGCUUAUGGGAAAGUCCCCUCCUCUCCUCCGUUUUCUUCUCUUCCUGCCCUAUCACACCGUGCACUUCUCCCUUUCCUUAAAGAACCACCAUCAACUUUAGGAGGAGGGAAAGGGGUGGCUCUGGCAGGAAAAGCCAGAAUCCCCUCUAGCCAGCAGAGAGAGAGGAAUGGCUGCAUGUUUUCUCCCCCAAUCCAAGGCACUAGGUUUUGGCUAGGUUGCAGGUUCCAAGCUGCUCUCCUGCUGUGUCGGUGAGUUCUGGUUAACCUGCAACCUCCUGAUGUGGCCACUGCAGUUCAUCGAGUCUUCAGGGACUCCCCAUGGCCUGGAGUACUUUGCCUUGCUUACACGGGAGAGGAGAAUGGAUUUAUAGAGAACAUCAUCUAAAUCCAACUUGACCAUUGUGUGGCCACACUUGCUAGAUUGCUUUAGUCUAAAUCUAGCAUUGUAGAAAGACGGGGGAGCUUGGAGCUGCACAAACCCAGGUCUGGAACUGGCUCCUUACCUUGAAAGGUGAAUAAUCCUGGCAGGACUCUUAGCCUUCCUGGGCCUCAGUUUCUUUAUCUGUUUCUUGGGAAGGAGGAUCUCUGCUGGUUGGUUGGGUGAUGUGGGGGCUGUGUGAAAACAACUUGUCAAUACAAGCCAAAACAGGAAUAUUUCUCCACAGAGUAUGAAGGUCAAAUGAGAGAAUACAUUUAAAUUAAACGGAAAAUUAAAAUGGCAAAAAAGGCAAAGCUGUAUUGAAAGUUCUGAGCUUCUCUAUAAGGAGCUUUUUGACUAUGUAAGAAUCCUAUACUCGUUCCCCCUAAAUAUAAAAAAAAAAGUUGAAGGAGGCAGAAGGGAGAGUGAUGCACGAUGGGCGAGGACUUCACCUGCUGUUGCUGGCUUUGAGGAUGGAGGAAGGAGGCCACAAACCCAGAAGCUGGAGCCCCUAGAAGCUAGAAAACGCAGGGACCUGAUUCAUCCCUUGAGCCUCCAGAAGGGACAUAGCCCCACCAGCACCUUGACUUUAGCCCAGUGAGAUCCUCUUAGGACUUUUGGCAACCAGAACUAUAAGACGGAAAUGGAAGCCACUGAGUCUGUAGCUGUUUGCUGCAGCAGCAAUAGAAAACUAAUGCAGAGCCCAAGAAAUCACUGGUGAUGAGAUGGGGAAGUGGGCUCAGGAGGUCUGGAUCUGUGAUGAGAUGGGGAAAGUGGGGGAGGUCUGGAUCUGUGAUGAGAUGGGGAAAGUGGGCUCAGGAGGUCUGGAUCUGUGAUGAGAUGGGGAAAGUGGGCUCAGGAGGUCUGGAUCUGAGUUGGGGAUCUGGAGUGGAAGGGGAAUUCAUUUGUUCAUUGUCUAUCCUUUUGCAUUGAUUCAGUUUUUUUUCCAUAUAUAUAUAUGUGAAUUUCACAAUAAAAGUUUUUUCCAAAAUAAAAGAAACAAAAGGGGCUUUUUGCAACUCAAUUCCUAUCUAUGUCUGAGUCCACUUGUAUUGAAUGAGUCUUUCUGCUAACGUCCUUAUAUUUGGGUGACAAUCUGAAUGUCAGUGACCAAUCAGAGCAGAGGCAGACCUUGGAGUGGGCAGGGCAUCCUGAGGGCCCUGAUUCCUGCCAUGAGGCAUAACCCUUUAGGUGCCAGACCAUGGGGAGGUCCAGGGGUUGCAGGGGAGGGCUGUGCAUCUGCAAUGACUCUCAGGGGGCUCCCGGUGGUGGCAAUUGGUGAAUCUGCACGGUGGUGUUUCAAUAUUGUCACAGCCCUGCUGUCUCUCAUGCUCUCAAAAAGCAUUUCUCUUACCUGUGACAGACUUCCUAUACCUAACAGCUUGCAAAAAUGUUCCAGGUUAACGAGAAUAAUCUCUCGGAGCCAUACCUACCUGCUUGGGGUCUCAGUUUCCCCAACUGUCUCCAGACAAGUUAGGCUAGAAGGCCCCUGAGCCUCAGCCCCUCUAUACCCCUCCUGUCACCCAGACCUGAUCUGGGGCUUGCACCCUGGGUGCAGCAUGACAGGGGUGGGCAGGGGCUGGCUCUGGGCCAGAGGACCCUUUCUGAUGGACUUCAGCUGUUGGCCUUCCAGGGGAGACUGAUCAACCUCACAAGAGUCAUACGGUGAGUAGCGGUGGGCAAAUCCAUCCCCCUCAUCUUAGAUUUAUGGGGAGACAGAGAGAAAGAGGAGACACUCCAGGAAGACCUGCAGGUGGGAGUACCAGGUUGAAACCAAGGACACCUUCCUGGAGGAGCUGCUGUUUGAGCCAGCUCUGAGAACAGGUGGGGACAGGACUGGAGAGGAGAAGGGUGUCCCCUAUGAGCAAAGACUGGCCACCACCCAAUCUAACACCCCCACAGGGCCCCUGUGGCAUCCCUGUCCAGUCCCUGUCACCACCCAGUUUUUCCCUCUGGACCCAGGAAUUCAAAGUAAGCAAGGAGGUCCGCUGCUCCAGUUGGCUGCAUAUAAUUACAACCUUGAGCCCAAGCAGCACUUUGGGUCCUGGUUUGGGACCAUGAAGCGGCUCGGUGAGACUGAGAGGUAAGGCCAGGGCAGGAAUUGGGAUAGUGGGAUUGAACUCUCCCUGGGGGCCAGCCUCAGAAAGCCUGUGGCCAUGGCCUCUUGGUCAACAUCAGAUCCUGUGGUCUGGCAAUGCCUGGGGUACCCAGACCUCACUCUGGACAGGCCCUGGGAGGGGGCCCUGGUGAGAUUCCUGGCAGCCUCACAGCCACUCUUCUGUCCAUAGCUACAACAUGUCAUGCCAGCUGGAGGCUCCAUCCCAGUUGGCUGGGAGCACAAAGGCCAGGAAGAUAGACAUCACCCACCACAGGAGCCAGUCGGGUCCUGAACCAGGGCGGGCAGAGGUUGGCUGCCUUGGGAUAUGGGUGGGCUCAGGGAGUCAGACAGCAAGGGACUAGCCUCCCAUCCUACUGCUGACCAGCCCUGUGACUGGGGAGAGUCACCUUACUUCUCUGGGCCUCAGUUUCCCCCUCUGUGGAGUGACACUAAAUGAUCUCUCUGGAGACUGGGAUCAAUAGGGCACUGGUGAUUGACCAGGCACUCAGCACAUGCCUGGAGCACACGGUGCAGGGCUGUGGUGGGGAGGUGGCCUGAGUUCCUGGGGAGUCACCCAUGUGUGCCUGCCGUUCUGACCAGCCACCAGGCACUCAGGGCAGAGCCCACUACCAGCAGCAGCUCACACCCCGAUACCAGCUCAGAGGCGGCCCCUAGCUCAGCAGCAGGGACAUCACGGACACUUUAAGCUGCUACUAGGGUGGCUUCUCCAGCUCCCACGUGGAGAGGGGUCCCAGCUGAGUCCCACUCACGUGGAGUCUCAUGCCCAUGAAACUGCCAUUCACCACUGGCCAGGCUCAUGAGGCCGCAUGAAACGGGGGUCACUGGGCAGGAGAUAUCGGGGGAACAGAGAGGGUGGUUGAAUUUUUGUAUAAUAGGCAGUGCAAGUGUUUACCGUUUGGGAGGGGAAAGGUUUGUUAUUAUUAGCAAUGUUACACUUGAAUAUUAUACUAAAAUCCAGUUUCUCUAUAACCUGGGAGUUGCUCUUUUGUUCUUUCUUUUCCCAUCUUAAUUAAAAUGAGAUGCAGACUCUCACGGUCCACAGUCGAUUAAGAAAUCUUGCACGGCCAUCAGGUUAUGUCUUGGAGAGCAGAGUUUCAGUACCAUCAGCCUGGCAAGGAGCCGAGCCUGCUCCUCAGAGCUGCCGGGACUGCGAGAAUUGGCAUGUUCACAGGGCACUGUCACAGCCUCUGAAACAUGCUGUCUUUAAAGACGUUUGCAGGCUGCAUGCGGUGGCUCACUCCUGUAAUCCCAGCACUUUGGGAGGCAGAAGCGGGGGGCUCACUUGAGGUCAGGAGUUCGAGACCAACAUGGCCAACAUGGCAAAACCCCAUCUCUACUAAAAAUACAAAAAAUUAGCCAGGUGUGGUGGCAGGUGCCUGUAAUUCCAGCUACUUGGGAGGCUGAGGUAGGAGAACUGCUUGAACCCAGGAGGCGGAGGUUGCAAUGAGCAGAGAUCACACCACUGCACUCCAGUCUGGGCAACAAGAGCAAAACUUCAUCUCAAAAAAAAAAAAAAAAAAACACAAAGACAUUUGCAAGGACCAUGUCCUCACCCAGAAUGGUGCCUGCCUUUCUACAGUUUUUCAGGAAGAGGAAACAUUUUCUGCUUCUCUCGCUGAGGUUUUUUUUAACCACCCAUUAGGAACCUAUAGAUUUCAGGAUCGAACACUGGGAUUCCCUCAGCACUAAAGGAGGAAAAUUGCAAACAGAGCUGAAAGUGCAAUGUGCAAAGGUGAGGCUAAGGAAGGUUCUUAGCCAGUAGACCAAGGGCAGGAAGGACACUGCCUCCUCAGUCUCCCACUAGGGAACUUGUGAUUCGUCUCCCCUGACCUCAGAAUUCC
rnacentral:lncRNA from 1 species